UUAAUGCCUAGAGGGUGGUGGAUAGUGAA
rnacentral:piRNA from 2 species